rnacentral:rRNA from 1 species
GAUGAACGCUGGCGGCGUGCCUAAUACAUGCAAGUCGAACGAGGUGCUUGAGUAGCAAUACGAGAGUAUCCUAGUGGCGAACGGGUGAGUAACGCGUUGGUGACCUACCCCAAAGUGUGGGAUAACAGUCCGAAAGGAUUGCUAAUACCGCAUGUGGUCCUCGGGUUUAGAAGCCGAUGACUAAAGGAGCAAUUCGCUUUGGGAGGGACCUGCGUCCCAUCAGCUAGUUGGUGAGGUAACGGCUCACCAAGGCUACGACGGGUAGGGGACCUGAGAGGGUGGCCCCCCACAAUGGAACUGAAACACGGUCCAUACACCUACGGGUGGCAG